rnacentral:rRNA from 1 species
UACGGAGGAUGCAAGCGUUAUCCGGAAUGAUUGGGCGUAAAGCGUCCGCAGGUGGCUGUGUAAGUCUGCUGUUAAAGAGUGAGGCUCAACCUCAUAAAGGCAGUGGAAACUACAUGGCUAGAGUGCGUUCGGGGCAGAGGGAAUUCCUGGUGUAGCGGUGAAAUGCGUAGAGAUCAGGAAGAACACCGGUGGCGAAAGCGCUCUGCUAGGCCGCAACUGACACUGAGGGACGAAAGCGAGGGGAGCGAAUGGG